AUGCGUCUUGGCGGCUCGAGCAGGGGCCACCCGAACUCGGCAGGAGGCAGAAGACGAAGCAAAGUGCUCAUGCUCAGGGACGUUGCAACAACAGCAGCAGUCGGAGGUGCACGCGGAAGGAAGGGCGGUCCCAGGCCGGAUGCAGGGUGCAGCAGGGGAAGUCAUAGAGGUGAGCUCAUGGCCAGCAGCAACAACAAUGCGCGGAACGGGACGGAGCUGGCAUCUUCGAGGCGGAGGUUGCCGGAUCCUGUGAGGAACUCGAACGGCGGCGAUGGCGGGCCUUGGCGCGAGCGAAGGGAAUGGGGGCGGCGCUGGUCCUCUCCUCCAGCGAUGCAAGACGACGGGCGAACGGGCGACCUUCGCUGGCGGCUCCAGGGACUUGGCACGGCGGCUCCUCGACGCAGGAAACAGCGGUUGCAGGCGUCAUGGAAGGAGUACGGACAGGCGACCGGGGAUGAGGCAAGGGUAGGGAUCGGGCGCAGGGAUCCUCCUCUGGUGCGUUGCGAGGAGAGCGAGAGGAGGGAGAGAUGGGAGAUGGGGAUCGGGCUGCGGGGAUCCUCCUCUGGUGAGCGAUGCAUGUGUGGCGGCAGUGGAAGGGAACGAGGGGAGUGGGAUCGAGAGGAGAAGGGGAGCGCGUGGGGAUCGCUAGGGUUAACUGGCACCGGCGCUGGGCCUUAG
rnacentral:rRNA from 1 species